UACGUAGGGUGCGAGCGUUGUCCGGAAUUACUGGGCGUAAAGAGCUCGUAGGUGGUUUGUCGCGUUGUUCGUGAAAACUCACAGCUUAACUGUGGGCGUGCGGGCGAUACGGGCAGACUUGAGUACUGCAGGGGAGACUGGAAUUCCUGGUGUAGCGGUGGAAUGCGCAGAUAUCAGGGGGAACACCGGUGGCGAAGGCGGGUCUCUGGGCAGUAACUGACGCUGAGGAGCGAAAGCGUGGGGAGCGAACAGG
rnacentral:rRNA from 1 species